AGCGUAGGCGGCAAGGCAAGUCUGAUGUGAAAACCCGGGGCUCAACCCCGGGACUGCAUUGGAAACUGCUUAGCUAGAGUGUCGGAGAGGUAAGUGGAAUUCCUAGUGUAGCGGUGAAAUGCGUAGAUAUUAGGAGGAACACCAGUGGCGAAGGCGACUUACUGGACGAUAACUGACGCUGAGGCUCGAAAGCGUGGGGAGCAAACAG
rnacentral:rRNA from 1 species